UACAGAGGUCCCGAGCGUUGUUCGGAUUCACUGGGCGUAAAGGGUGCGUAGGUGGUCGGGUAAGUUUGAUGUGAAAUCUCUGAGCUCAACUCAGAAACUGCAUUGAAUACUAUUCGGCUAGAGGAGUGGAGGGGGGACUGGAAUACUUGGCGUAGCAGUGAAAUGCGUAGAUAUCAAGUGGAACACCAGUGGCGAAGGCGAGUCCCUGGACACUUCCUGACACUGAGGCACGAAAGCUAGGGGAGCAAACAGG
rnacentral:rRNA from 1 species